GACGAACGCUGGCGGCGUGCUUAACACAUGCAAGUCGAACGGUGAAGCCCCUUCCUUUUUGGUGGGUGUGGACGAGUGGCGAACGGGUGAGUAACACGUGAGUAACCUGCCCCCUUCUUCUGGAUAACCGCAUGAAAGUGUGGCUAAUACGGGAUAUUCUGGGUCUGUCGCAUGAUGGGUCUGGGAAAGAUAUUGUUUCGGUGGGGGAUGGGCUCGCGGCCUAUCAGCUUGUUGGUGGGGUGAUGGCCUACCAAGGCGGUGACGGGUAGCCGGCCUGAGAGGGUGGACGGUCACACUGGGACUGAGACACGGCCCAGACUCCUACGGGAGGCAGCAGUGGGGAAUAUUGCACAAUGGGCGCAAGCCUGAUGCAGCGACGCCGCGUGAGGGAUGGAGGCCUUCGGGUUGUGAACCUCUUUCGCCAGUGAAGCAGGCCUGCCUCGUUUGUGGGUGGGUUGACGGUAGCUGGAUAAGAAGCGCCGGCUAACUACGUG
rnacentral:rRNA from 1 species